rnacentral:tRNA from 1 species
CUCCCCUUCAGGUUUUCUCCUCCCCCUGCCCCACCCAGCUCAUGAGGCACUCAACUCCUUCAUAUUUUCCUGGGGAGAGGCCUGGUUUCCUGGAGGGUUAGCCAUGGUUAUAGAAAUCACAAUUCCGAGAAAAAAGGACUAAGGACUAAGCACACAAUUCAGUACAUUUCCCUACACAAGCUGUAGAAACAGAGUUUGAACAUCAGAUCAGAUAACAUUGUAUCUCAAAGAAUAGAGGAGGCUUUAUAUUGAAUUAGACAUUGUGGGGCGGUAAAAGAGAGUUGAUACUCUUCCAUUUUUCCUUCCCGUGUUAGACGAAUAUUUCAAUUAGUUUUGUCUGAAUUUUAAAAUCUAAAACUAAUUCUAUUUUCUUGAUAUUGUGAUUGGUGUUUCUUUAAGUCAUCUUCUUAAUCUGUAAAAUUCUUUUAAAAGAUGCCAUCCUAGGGCUGGGGUUGAGGCUCAGAGGUAGAGCGCAUGCCUAGCACGCAUGAGGCACUGGGUUUGAUCCUCAGCACCACAUAAAAAUAUUGUGUCCACCUAUAACUAAAAAUUAUUUGAAAAAAAGAUACCAUCCUAUCUAGAUAGUGCUAAUAAACACAAAGUACUGUUUGUCCAUAUUGGAAAUGUUGCCAAGAAACCGCAGGUAUGGGAAGGCAGCAGGGCUCAAGAACCUCAUAGGUAAGAGGCAGCAGCUCAGAGGAACAGGAAUUCUUCUAGAGCUCUUGACACUUCUCAGUGGGUUUUAUGAAGUCUUUUACCUUUCUCCGUCUCCUGGGCUCAUUAUAUUUUUUAAAAUGUG